rnacentral:lncRNA from 1 species
GUUCAAGCACUGAGUACAUUAGUCAUUGCCUGUCAGUAAAAGGCAAAACGAACAAUAUUAAGAUUUGAGAAGUAUGAAAAGUGCUUUAAAAGUGCAUCAUUUGGGGAUCGGAAAGGUUGAGCCUCCAGGUGACCAAUUUCACAGCAGUGUAACAUAUGAAUGGGCACAGAUCAAACCCAGCUGGCAGUGUCUGUACAGUAAUUACCACCGCGUGGCACACAUCUGUACUUGAGUAAUUCAGUCUGCAGGCCAGAGAUCAACCUAAGAGCAGUGGGGUGAGACACAUAGGCAGGACAAUGUGUGCUGCCUUCCCUAUGAUGCUUUUUUUUUUUUCCUAAGCUUAAAAACACAGAAAAUUUACCAGGGAAAAAAAGCUCUGAGAUAGAUAUCUCUCUUCCUUCCACUUUAGCUAAGUAUAUUAAGUUCAAUGUCCAGUAUGUAAAAAUCCAUAAACAGGGGCAUUUCUACUAAUGCUUGCUCUUUUGUUUCGUCUUAUGAGCUUUUUACUGUUUUAAAGAGAUACCAUCCAUUCAUAUUUAAAAAAAAAAAAAACAACACAAUUUAUAAGCUCUGCAUUUGGGUAAAUCAUCCCUUAAAAGGAAAGUGUCUGUGUUAAGAAGUUGAUUGCAAAAUUUUUUUCUACUCUACCAUCUUUUUUAAAAAAUGUAGCAGUUUUCUGUGAUGGCUUUAACUAGAUAACAGGAAUUUUUCACUCUCAGCUUUGAUGGACUCCUUUCUAGGAAGGCAGAUUGCAACCAGUACAUAUUUUAGUGAAACUGCAUCAUAGAAUUUUCCAUAGCAACAUGCCGUGACGUUGCUGCUGUUGAAUUAUGGUCACUAUGCCUCACAGACAAAAUGAAACAACAAAUGAGGGUGCGUUCUGUUCUGUUGGUUACCAAGACAAACGCAGUACAGAAGAAUCCCUCAAAGCAUCCCCUGUUUGGAUGAAAGCCCAGGAACACAAGAACUCAUCUUCAAGAGCACUAUCAGACCGUAGACUCUACGCUACUUAAAAGGUAAGUCAUAAUUCCCACCAAGAGAUAUCUUCCAAAGACCUCAUUCUGUAUGGCCAAGGGAAAAAAACAUCAACAUUUCCACCCCUGCAUACUGGCUGGAAUACAUAAGGAGACAUUAAGGUAUCACAGUCCCUGGAGGUGUUCAAGAAAUAUUUAGACAUUAUACUGAGGGACUCAGUGGGAAAUAUCAGUGGUAAGUGGAUGAUUGACUGGAUGAUCUUAGAGGUCUUUUCCAACUUGGUGAUUCUGUGAUUCUAUCACUAUUUAAGUGCUCUGCAUUACUCAGGGCAUAUUAAAU